GACAGAGGGUGCAAACGUUGCUCGGAAUCACUGAGCAUAAAAAGCGUGUAGACGGAACGGUAAGUCAAGCGUGAAAUCCCUAGGCUCAACCUAGGAACUGCACUCGAAACUACCAUUCUUAAGUGUCGGAGAGGAAAGCGGAAUUCCUGGUGUAGAGGUGAAAUUCGUAGAUAUCAGGAGGAACACCAGUGGCGAAGGCGGCUUUCUGGACGAUAACUGACGCUGAGACGCGAAAGCGUAGAGAACAAACAGG
rnacentral:rRNA from 1 species